GACGAACGCUGGCGGCGCGCUUAACACAUGCAAGUCGAACGGAAAGGCCUGCUUUCCCUUGUGGAUUGCGGGUACUCGAGUGGCGAACGGGUGAGUAACACGUGAGUGAUCUGCCCCCAACUUGGGUAUAAGCCUGGGAAACUGGGUCUAAUUCCCGAUAGGACUGCAGGGUGGUGCCUGUGGUGGAAAACGAUUUUCUAGUGGUUGGGGAUGAGCUCGCGGCCUAUCAGCUUGUUGGUGGGGUAAUGGCCUACCAAGGCGGCGACGGGUAGCCGGCCUGAGAGGGUGGACGGCCACAUUGGGACUGAGAUACGGCCCAGACUCCUACGGGAGGCGGCAGUGGGGAAUAUUGCACAAUGGGCGGAAGCCUGAUGCAGCGACGCCGCGUGGGGGAUGACGGCCUUCGGGUUGUAAACUCCUUUCGACCGCGAGGAAGCCACCUGGUUGGAAGGGUGGUGACGGUAGUGGUAGAAGAAGCACCGGCUAACUACGUG
rnacentral:rRNA from 1 species